GACGAACGCUGGCGGCGUGCUUAACAAAUGCAAGUCGAACGAAGUGGCGAACGGGUGAGUAACGCGUAAUCAACCUGCCCUUCAGAGGGGGACAACAGUUGGUAACGACUGCUAAUACCGCAUACUGAGGGAGGGGAUUGCGUCUGAUUAGCUAGUUGGCGGGGUAACGGCCCACCAAGGCGAUGCUCAGUAGCCGGUCUGGGAGGAUGAACGGCGACAUUGGGACUGAGACACGGCCCCGACGCAUACGGGAGGCAGCAGUGGGGAAUCUGCCGCAAUGGACGAAAGUCUGACGGAGCAACGCCGCGUGAGUGAUGACGGCCUUCGGGUGGUAAAGCUCUGUUAAUCGGGACGCGGUACCGGAAUAGAAAGCCACGGCUAACUACGUGCCAGCCGCCGCGGUAAUAC
rnacentral:rRNA from 1 species